AUUCAAAAGAUGCAAAAGGAUGCUUUGGAGAUCCAAAUUUUGGAACAUAAGUUAAAGUUGCCUUAUUAGGUCCUCCACAGUCGCCCCAUCAGUCCCUGGCAGUCUGGUCCCUGGAGCAGCUGGCCCUGGCAAAAGUUAUUCCUUCAUUGUUGACCCCUGACUGACUGGCCCUCGGCACACAAAUCCCUGGAUCACCCGCCACUGGAUCACCUGCCCCUGAAUCACCUGCCCCUGGCAAUGUGGCCUCUUGAUUGCUCUCUCUUUCUCCUGUGAUGUCCUU
ensembl:lncRNA